rnacentral:rRNA from 1 species
AGAGCGAACGCUGGCGGCAGGCUUAACACAUGCAAGUCGAGCGGGCGUAGCAAUACGUCAGCGGCGGACGGGUGAGUAACGCGUGGGAACGUACCUUUUGGUUCGGAACAACCCAGGGAAACUUGGGCUAAUACCGGAUAAGCCCUUACGGGGAAAGAUUUAUCGCCAAAAGAUCGGCCCGCGUCUGAUUAGCUAGUUGGUGAGGUAAUGGCUCACCAAGGCGACGAUCAGUAGCUGGUCUGAGAGGAUGAUCAGCCACAUUGGGACUGAGACACGGCCCAAACUCCUACGGGAGGCAGCAGUGGGGAAUAUUGGACAAUGGGCGCAAGCCUGAUCCAGCCAUGCCGCGUGAGUGAUGAAGGCCCUAGGGUUGUAAAGCUCUUUUGUGCGGGAAGAUAAUGACGGUACCGCAAGAAUAAGCCCCGGCUAACUUCGCGCCAGCAGCCGC